UGUCACCCAGGACUGGGGACACCCAAGGGUGCUUGGGCACACCAUGAGGUUUGGUGUCACCCAGGUGGGUUGGGGACACCAUGAGGUUUGAUGUCACCCAGGGCUGGGGACACCCCGGUGGGCUGGGGACACCCAAGGGUGCUUGGGCACACCAUGAGGUUUGGUGUCACCCAGGUGAGUUGGGGACACCAUGAGGUUUGGUGUCACCCAGGUGGGUUGGGGACACCAUGAGGUUUGGUGUCACCCAGGUGAGUUGGGGACACCAUGAGGUUUGGUGUCACCCAGGUGGGUUGGGGACACCAUGAGGUUUGGUGUCACCCAG